AAGCUUGGGACAAAGUUGUGAGGCGCGCGCGGCGCGCUCCGCUCCGGCCGAGCCGCGCGGCUCUGCGCCGCUGCCCUGAGCGUCAUCCAGGUUCGGGUGCCUCCCCGCGUUAAACAGACGAGAAAUCCGAGGUCCGGGGAGCCAAGAGACUUGCCCAAAGUCGCUCAGAGGGCGGUGACAAAGCAAACUUACAUCUGCGACUCCUUGCUUUCCCCCAAGGCUGUGCUCUGUGAAGCUCGGGCCCUGCAGGAUUUGCCUCGCUCUCAUUGAAACAUAAUAGGAUACAGUGGCCUUCUGAGAAGCUCAGCUGAUUACCUCAUGAAAAUAGAAGUUGGAGAAGUUGAGAUGUUGGAUACAAAAGGCAACAAAUUACAUCACAAAAUGAUUCUGGAAUCCGUACAACUGACUACUCUCCUGCACAUGGGCAAAUCCUUUUUCCUCUCAACCAAUCAAGUUAAUCCUACUUCCCAGGCCAGUGACUAGUUUACAAACGGGCAGAUGGUAUAAUUCUAGCCAAUGAGACACAAUGUCCCGGGGUGGUCGUGGUGCUCGGAAAAGAUGUGCAUUGGAAGAAAGUUCUUUCUGUUCUUCUUCUAAUGAGGCUGUUUCUACAUGUACACCUCCUGUAAUAGCCCAGCCAUCUUGGCACUGUGAAGGGAGCUGGAAGAAAGAUGGAAACAACAGUGACAAUGUUGAGUUGAAGAAUUAAUGAAGUCUAAAGUUUCUACCUCUGGACUCGUUAUAGGAAAUAAAUUUUCCUUAUUGUUUAAGCCA